rnacentral:tRNA from 1 species
GUAAGCUGUUAAAUCAAAUAGUGGAACUAAGCAUGUAGAGCUGACGGCGGAGUACUGUCGGACGGGGGUUCAAAUCCCCCCGCCUCCACCA